GAGGUUGCAGUGAGCUGAGUUCGUGCCUAGGUGAAAAGACACUCCAGCCUACGUGAAAGAGUGAGACUCCGUCUCAAAAAAAAAAAAAAAAAUUGUAGAGUCAGGGCCUUGCUAUGUGGCUUAGGCUAGUCUUAAAAUCCUGGCCUCAAGCGAUCCUCCUGCCUCGGCCUCCCAAAGUGCUGGGAUUACAGGCAAGAGCCACCAUGCCCGGACUCUGGCCCAUUUUAAAAAGCCUAUUCCUCUUGCUUCCUGCUGAACUUUAUUAAAACUUACUACUGCAGCUUUUUCUCCCCUAAGACAGCCAGAGGGGAUGUAUGGUGAUUACCGCUCAGAGCCCCCACCCACCCACUAGAGAGCUCUGAGAUUCCACAUUGUUCAGGAGGACUGAACACCAGCUGUUCUAAGAUCCUAAGUGUCUACAUGUUCAGUGAUCCCACGAUUCUGAGCCUCCAGACUCCAGAGCUCAGGGAUUCUCUGAGCUCAUCACUGUCUGCCUGGGUCUUCCAUAAUUGCCCGCAACAGAUAAUACAGUGUCUCGAGGCAAAAACCAUGAUCCCUCUAAUCCACAGACCCAGGCACAGGGGCCGGUCGCCCACAGCCACCGAGCUUUUCCUAACAGCUUAAUGAGAAAGUCAGAAUUAACUGGAAGUGGCACCUAGCACUCCCAGGGCUCAGCGUGGCCUCCCCGUGUUAAAGCCGAGUGUCCCCAGGCCUCCCUUUGACCUUCUUGGACACCAGCAAUUAUGAUGGGCGAGGCCUGGAAUUCAGCCUGAAUAGGGAAGUGGCUGGGGCCAUGGUGACCUAGUUCUUCAGGUUAAGCCAGCCCGCCCACCUUCCCCGGAGAGUGACCAGCCCAGCCUGGGUUCUCAUUCUGCCACUACUCCUCUCCGGGCCUCAGUUUCCCUCCUUUGUUCAAGGAGGUCAGGGAUCAUGCCAGCCUCCUACUUUGCUGUGUUACAUGUAAAUUUCUUGGCACAUGUAUUAUGUUAUCAUCUCUCUUUGUGCACACGGAUACCUUCCCAGAAAGGACACUGCUGGCUUAUACCUUUUUCAAAUAGCUAUUGUCAGAGAGCUUACACCAUUUCACACUCUGAACCCCAGCAGCAUGAGGCUGCUCUUUUCCCAAAACCCUGAAAACACAGCAAAUGCUCAGACUUUUUCAUCUUUACCAGCCAGACAGAUGAAAAGAAGAAAAAGAUAUUUCAUGGUAGUUUUUUUUUAUAUUUAGGUUACCAUGAGCGAGAAUGAACUCCCUUGCCUAUGCCCAGAAGACGUUUGUAUUUCCUUUUCAGAAAACCGUUCAUGUGUGGUGGCUUAUGCUUGUAAUCCCAGCACUUUGGGAGGCUGAGGUG
rnacentral:lncRNA from 1 species